ACUCAACACUAUUUAUUUAAAAAGGGUGAGUCUAAGCUAGUAAAGCGUGCCGUAUGAUUGUUUUUUUAUAGAACAGUGUGUCGGAUACUUGAUCAGCCAGUUAGCCCUAAACUUGUUUACAAGGAGUUU
rnacentral:sRNA from 1 species